rnacentral:rRNA from 1 species
UACGUAGGGUGCGAGCGUUGUCCGGAAUUAUUGGGCGUAAAGGGCUCGUAGGCGGUUUGUCGCGUCGGGAGUGAAAACCCAGGGCUUAACCCUGGGCUGGCUUCCGAUACGGGCAGACUAGAGGUAUGCAGGGGAGAACGGAAUUCCUGGUGUAGCGGUGGAAUGCGCAGAUAUCAGGAGGAACACCGAUAGCGAAGGCAGCUCGCUGGGACGGUACUGACGCUGAGGUGCGAAAGCCAGGGGAGCAAACGGG